rnacentral:rRNA from 1 species
AUUGAACGCUGGCGGCAUGCUUUACACAUGCAAGUCGAACGGCAGCGCGGGCUUCGGCCUGGCGGCGAGUGGCGAACGGGUGAGUAAUACAUCGGAACGUGCCCAGCUGUGGGGGAUAGCUCGGCGAAAGCCGGAUUAAUACCGCAUACGACCUGAUGGUGAAAGCGGGGGAUCUUCGGACCUCGCGCUCUUGGAGCGGCCGAUGGCGGAUUAGCUAGUUGGUGGGGUAAAGGCCUACCAAGGCGACGAUCUGUAGCUGGUCUGAGAGGACGACCAGCCACACUGGGACUGAGACACGGCCCAGACUCCUACGGGAGGCAGCAGUGGGGAAUUUUGGACAAUGGGCGAAAGCCUGAUCCAGCAAUGCCGCGUGUGUGAUGAAGGCCUUCGGGUUGUAAAGCACUUUUGGCGGGAACGAAAAGGACUGUGCCAAUACCACGGUUCGAUGACGGUACCCGCAGAAUAAGCACCGGCUAACUACGUG